GACGAACGCUGGCGGCGUGCUUAACACAUGCAAGUCGAGCGGUAAGGCCCUUUCGGGGGUACACGAGCGGCGAACGGGUGAGUAACACGUGGGUGACCUGCCCUCAGCUCUGGGAUAAGCCUGGGAAACCGGGUCUAAUACCGGAUAUGACUCCAUGACGCAUGUUGUGGGGUGGAAAGCCUUGUGCGGCUGAGGAUGGGCCCGCGGCCUAUCAGCUUGUUGGUGGGGUGANGGCCUACCAAGGCGACGACGGGUAGCCGGCCUGAGAGGGCGACCGGCCGCACUGGGACUGAGACACGGCCCAGACUCCUACGGGAGGCAGCAGUGGGGAAUCUUGCGCAAUGGGCGAAAGCCUGACGCAGCGACGCCGCGUGA
rnacentral:rRNA from 1 species